CUUCAAAUUGUCAAGUUAAUGCAUCUGUACAGAUCAAACUUUUUAGCGUCAACUUUUGUUCACAAUUAGAACAAAAGUAAUGGCACCCUGUGAAAGGUGGAAGCACAAGUAGACACACUGCAGUGGCUGAGCUGCAGUACUGGGAGAUUGAGUGUGUGCUGUUCUCAUCAGGCAUCUUAAUGGAUGAAUAAUAGACUCGAAAUAUAUAUAUAACACACUUGGGAUUACAAAGACAAUUUUGUUGUUAGGUAAAACUCUGUAAAGGUUGAGAUUUUUGUUUAGUUCUUUACUGUUGAGUCCAGAGAGCUUGUUAUUCAGUUAAUACUGAUAUUGAAAAAUAGACUUCUUUCUUUUCAGAUUAAGAUACAGGAUACAGUAAGGAUGUGUCUGAACAAUCAGUGUACAUGUGAGAUGAUGUACAUGAAGUACAUGGUGUACAUGAAGAUUCACCAGCUGAUGUCAGCGAAGAGCUCGGCGUGGACAAUUUCGACGAGUCUCAUCUGACUCCCUCAAAAACAAAAACAAAAACAAAGUAAAGUCUGUGGGAAGAAUUCCAGAAAUAAAUAACGUAAAAAUCUAAGAACCAGAAUUAAAUAUGGGAAGCCAAGAGGUAAAUACGUGCUCAAAACACUAUGGGUGACGAAUAAGGUCAAAACGACACAAAACACAGCACGGCCUCGAAAAAAGGAGGGCGAGCCUGCAGUGACACUGGAGUGGCAUGAAGAGUUCUGAAGUGCAGAGGGGCAGAAAGAAAAAAAACGAAAGAAGAGCAGCGCUUUCUGAUGGAGAAGUCUCAGUGCAACUUCCACUUCACUCAGCAGGGCAGAGAGCAGGGCGGGAAAUAAGUGCCCUAAACCACAGUGAAGCCCAGGAGACAAACACACACGCACGCACACACACACACACACACACACACACACACACACACACACACACACACACACACACACACACACAGCGGUGUGUAUAUAUAUUCAGUCUUACAUAUGAUGCUUAAGAUGCUCUAAAUUCAGUCCACAGUGGAGUUUAUAACAUGAGAACAUUCUAAAUCACAGGAACAUAAAAGGACAAAUGUGUAUGUGUGUGUUUGCGUUUUAGUUAUUUUCAAUUGUCUGUACAAUUUACACUGUUAAAAAUAAUUACAUUCGACUCGAUUCAG